AUUGCCUCGUGUGACUAGAAUGAAUAACACCUUCCGUUUUUAAUUAAUCUGUUGGAGAUUUGCAUUUGUACUUGUUGAAGCCAUCACUCUUCUUUCCUGGGUUAUCACAGCUGCACCUCGGCUCAGAGGAAAAGGAAUAUGUAAAGUGAGAAACUGUCGGAGGAACAGGAGAUGGACUGACAAGAUGCCAAUGUUUUGAAAAACCUUUUACAGCAGGAACCUUCCAAUGCACAUCUGAUAAAGCCAUCAAGAGCCCCUGUUAUUAUGUGCCAUAAUGGCCCACAGAGUAUUUGAUUAGAGCAUUUUCCUCAUCACACCGACAAACUAAGAGAUAUUAUCUGCCUCGGGAGGCUAAAUGGAAGACUUGAGGGAUAAAAAGGUCUGUUGUUGUUACACGCAUGAUCUUGUGACUGAAAACAUCGCAAGGGAUUAAGACAGCUCGCUGGAUGUAUGGAGUGAGUCAGUAUAUGUAAAUUAGCUUUGUUUACCAACACUGAUGUCUUGUAAUUAUUCUAUCCAGCUACACUUAAACUUAAGAAUAAUCUAGGGAAUACUCCAGCUGUGAUAUGAUUGCUUUCUUAUUUAUAACAAAUGUUGCUUUCUUUAUAAUGGGAAGAAGGAAUUGGUGCUGAUAAUGAGGUGUCUGUUUAUAUUUAUGUUCUGCUGUCCCUAGCAGAAGAACAUUAAUAUUACAUCCAAGCCCCAGGUGUCCUCCAGACCAUGACAUCCACUCAGACCACUCACUUGUCUGAAAUGCCCAGGUUGGUGGGACAACUCUUCCAUGUGAACAAACAGCCCAACAGCUCCGGUUCUGCCUGAAACAAAAUAAACUGCUCUUAUCCUCUGAUGAACUUUGUCAGCUUCAUGCAGUAUUUUUUUUUUCAAGUGUUGCACUAGGAAAAAAAUAGAAACAUAAGAACCAUGUGGUGCUAUGGAGAAAUACUGUUGAAUAUAGCUGGCUAAGUGCAUGUAAGGUAAGGAAAAGAUAAGAAAGAAUUGCAGGCCUAGGGGAGAUGGGAUAUGCAAUGUUGGCCUGCUUGCUCCUUUGCUUUUAUUGUGGCAAUACUGAUGUAAUGGCCAUCAAUCUCUGACAGUAAGCCCCAAAUACAUAUUUAUCCUGCCUGAUAGAUGUAUCACUUUAAGAAAAUGCUGCUUAUUUUGGUGGUAGAACAGUUGUUAUGGUGACUCCUCUUCUUCCCUCAUUUAAUACAGGAAGCAGAGACCUAAAAUAAAAAUCAUUCCAUUUAUGGAGUUUAAAAGAAACCCACUCUGAGGCUGUAAUUCAACACAGAGAUGUUUCAGAAUAUUUAAUGAUGUAUUUAUUUUAUAUUAUUUGGCUUUUCUUUUGGAACUUGGAAUUUUGUGGAACGACGUAGUAAUAGGAAUGUAUGGAAGGAAAAGUAUUUUUCUAUGGCACAUACUAUAUCAUUUGUUUGUAUUUAAUAUUUAUACAGAAUUGUGGUUAUUGAAUGUACAAAUACCUUUUGCAUGUUAGUUUGAGUAAAUGAGUAAAGGUUACACAGAAUUCUCUUU